rnacentral:rRNA from 1 species
UACGGAGGGGGCUAGCGUUGUUCGGAAUUACUGGGCGUAAAGCGCGCGUAGGCGGACCUGCAAGUCGGGGGUGAAAGCCCGAGGCUCAACCUCGGAACUGCCUUCGAUACUGCGGGUCUCGAGUCCGGGAGAGGUGAGUGGAAUUCCUAGUGUAGCGGUGAAAUGCGCAGAUAUCAGGAGGAACACCAAUUGCGAAGGCAGCUCGCUGGGACGUUACUGACGCUGAGACGCGAAAGCGUGGGGAGCAAACAGG